CAGUCGCCGCGGUAAUACGAAGGGGGCUAGCGUUGUUCGGAUUUACUGGGCGUAAAGCGCACGUAGGCGGACUUUUAAGUCAGGGGUGAAAUCCCGGGGCUCAACCCCGGAACUGCCUUUGAUACUGGGAGUCUUGAGUUCGAGAGAGGUGAGUGGAAUUGCGAGUGUAGAGGUGAAAUUCGUAGAUAUUAGCUAGAACACCAGUGGCGAAGGCGGCCAACUGGUCCGAUACUGACGCUGAGGUGCGAAAGCGUGGGGAGCAAACAGGAUUAGAUACCCCCGUAGUCCCUGUCUCUUAUAC
rnacentral:rRNA from 1 species